rnacentral:tRNA from 1 species
GCUGCAAUGGCUCAAUUGGUAGAGCAGCUGAAUCGUAAUCAGCAGGUUGGGGGUUCGAGUCCCUCUUGCAGCACCA